rnacentral:rRNA from 1 species
AGAACGAACGCUGGCGGCAUGCCUAAUACAUGCAAGUCGAACGAACUCUUCGGAGUUAGUGGCGCACGGGUGCGUAACGCGUGGGAAUCUGCCCCUUGGUUCGGAAUAACAGUUGGAAACGACUGCUAAUACCGGAUGAUGACGAAAGUCCAAAGAUUUAUCGCCAAGGGAUGAGCCCGCGUAGGAUUAGCUAGUUGGUGAGGUAAAGGCUCACCAAGGCAACGAUCCUUAGCUGGUCUGAGAGGAUGAUCAGCCACACUGGGACUGAGACACGGCCCAGACUCCUACGGGAGCAGCAGUAGGGAAUAUGGACAAUGGGCGAAAGCCUGAUCCAGCAAUGCCGCGUGAGUGAUGAAGGCCUUAGGUUGUAAAGCUCUUUACCCGAGAUGAUAAUGACAGUAUCGGGAGAAGUAAGCCCCGGACUAACGUCCGCCGCCAGCAGCCGC